rnacentral:rRNA from 1 species
GACGAACGCUGGCGGCGUGCCUAAUACAUGCAAGUCGAGCGAUGAAGAUUGGUGCUUGCACCAAUUUGAAGAGCAGCGAACGGGUGAGUAACGCGUGGGGAAUCUGCCUUUUAGCGGGGGACAACAUUUGGAAACGAAUUCUAAUACCGCAUAACAACUUUAAACAUAAGUUUUAAGUUUGAAUGAUGCAAUUGCAUCACUCAAAGAUGAUUCCGCGUUGUAUUAGCUAGUGGGUGAGGUAAAGGCCCACCAAGGCGUUGGUACAUAGCCGACCUGAGAGGGUGGUACGCCCACACGGGAACGGGACACGGCCCCAGCCCCUAAGGGGAGGAGGCGGAGGGAAACUUCGGAAAAGGGGGAAAGUCUGGACGAGGCAAGCCGCGUGGGUGAAGAAGGUUUUCGGGUCGUAAAACUCUGUUGGUAGAGAAAGACGUUGGUGAGGGUGGAAAGCUCAUCAAGUGACGGUAACUACCCAGAAAGGGACGGCUAACUACGUG